rnacentral:rRNA from 1 species
AUUUAUCGAAUUAAAUAACAUGCUUCACUCCGUUUGCUUCGAGACCGACUAAUUUUUUUGUUUUCUACUUUGCAGUAGUACUCACAAGGCGGAAUGGUUAUUGUGUUAACUUCGCCUCUAGUUAUUUAAUUUAACUAAUGACUACCAUUCAUCGUUUACAGAAAGGAGUACCGGGGUAUCUAAUCCUAUUUCCUACCCUAACCUUCGUUUCUCAGCGUCAAUCAUUAGUGGAGAGUGGCCUUCGCCCUAAGUAUUCUGCCUAGGAUCUAUGGAUAUCAGCCCUCCUCUAGGCGUUAUACACUAUAACCUCUUUUUGAUUCUAGCUUUCAAUUAAAUUAAUUUUUUUAAUCUUAUAAAAGCUGCCUACAAACCCUUUACGCCUGUUUAUGAUGAUUAACGUUUGCGUCUCUGGUCUUACCGAGUCUUCUGGCACCAGAUUUGGACGACACUCAUAGUAAGGUAUUAUCAUUAUUUUCCCUUACGACAUCAUGAACUUAAAAAAAUUCUAUGAUUUCAGGUAGCUAAGUUCACUCUUACCGAGCAUUGGACUAAUAUUCUUG